UCGAGCGGAUGAAGGGAGCUUGCUCCUGGAUUCAGCGGCGGACGGGUGAGUAAUGCCUAGGAAUCUGCCUGGUAGUGGGGGAUAACGUCCGGAAACGGGCGCUAAUACCGCAUACGUCCUGAGGGAGAAAGUGGGGGAUCUUCGGACCUCACGCUAUCAGAUGAGCCUAGGUCGGAUUAGCUAGUUGGUGGGGUAAAGGCCUACCAAGGCGACGAUCCGUAACUGGUCUGAGAGGAUGAUCAGUCACACUGGAACUGAGACACGGUCCAGACUCCUACGGGAGGCAGCAGUGGGGAAUAUUGGACAAUGGGCGAAAGCCUGAUCCAGCCAUGCCGCGUGUGUGAAGAAGGUCUUCGGAUUGUAAAGCACUUUAAGUUGGGAGGAAGGGCAGUAAGUUAAUACCUUGCUGUUUUGACGUUACCAACAGAAUAAGCACCGGCUAACUUCGUGCCAGCAGCCGCGGUAAUACGAAGGGUGCAAGCGUUAAUCGGAAUUACUGGGCGUAAAGCGCGCGUAGGUGGUUCAGCAAGUUGGAUGUGAAAUCCCCGGGCUCAACCUGGGAACUGCAUCCAAAACUACUGAGCUAGAGUACGGUAGAGGGUGGUGGAAUUUCCUGUGUAGCGGUGAAAUGCGUAGAUAUAGGAAGGAACACCAGUGGCGAAGGCGACCACCUGGACUGAUACUGACACUGAGGUGCGA
rnacentral:rRNA from 1 species